rnacentral:misc_RNA from 1 species
GAUGAAGAACGUAGCGAAAUGCGAUACGUAAUGUGAAUUGCAGAUUUCAGUGAAUCAUCGAAUCUUUGAACGCACAUUGCGCCCGCCAGCAUUCUGGCGGGCAUGCCUGUUCGAGCGUCAUUUCAACCCUCGAGCCCCCCCGGGGGCCUCGGUGUUGGGGGACGGCACACCAGCCGCCCCCGAAAUGCAGUGGCGACCCCGCCGCAGCCUCCCCUGCGUAGUAGCACACACCUCGCACCGGGGCGCGGAGGCGGUCACGCCGUAAAACGCCCAACUUUCUUAGAGUUGACCUCGGAUCAGGUAGGAAUACCCGCUGAACUUAAGCAUAUCAAUAAGCGGAGGA